AUUGUCACACAAACAAGACCAGGUGAAACAACUUAUUUAAGGUAAGCCAAACGAUCAGAAGAUGAGAAGGUGAACGGGAAGCUGGGCUCUUUGUUUGUUCAGGGGGCGAACUGAUUCAGUGCAUAACGCAAACUGCUAAAACAAGCAUUUUGAUUCAUCAUGAGCGGGGCUGAUUACUAAUGUAUUGUUGGAAGGCAUAAGCUACUAAAACAAGGCGGUUGCACUCGAGGGACAGUGGGCGCACGUGUGGUGUUUACUUUUAUUGGAUGCAGUGGUUUGGUGUGAGGGUGUCACAUAUAGGUAAAUGCUGUGGUGAUGUAGUGGUUUGUUUUGGAGUAUUAAGUCUUCACUCCACUUGUACCUCUGUGUACUGCCUGGGUUGGUUUAUUUUGUCUUUUCGAUUAUGUGUUUUUUAUGCCUAUAAGGGACUUGUGAAAUAAAACUGCUCUGUAAAAGCGUUUAUACGUGAA